rnacentral:rRNA from 1 species
UACGUAGGGUGCAAGCGUUAAUCGGAAUUACUGGGCGUAAAGCGUGCGCAGGCGGUGAUGUAAGUCAGAUGUGAAAUCCCCGGGCUCAACCUGGGAACUGCAUUUGUGACUGCAUCGCUGGAGUACGGGAGAGGGGGAUGGAAUUCCGCGUGUAGCAGUGAAAUGCGUAGAUAUGCGGAGGAACACCGAUGGCGAAGGCAAUCCCCUGGGCCUGUACUGACGCUCAUGCACGAAAGCGUGGGGAGCAAACAGG